rnacentral:rRNA from 1 species
AUUGGGACUGAGACACGGCCCAGACUCCUACGGGAGGCAGCAGUGGGGAAUAUUGCACAAUGGGGGAAACCCUGAUGCAGCGACGCCGCGUGGAGGAAGAAGGUCUUCGGAUUGUAAACUCCUGUUGUUGAGGAAGAUAAUGACGGUACUCAACAAGGAAGUGACGGCUAACUACGUGCCAGCAGCCGCGGUAAAACGUAGGUCACAAGCGUUGUCCGGAAUUACUGGGUGUAAAGGGAGCGCAGGCGGGAAGACAAGUUGGAAGUGAAAUCCAUGGGCUCAACCCAUGAACUGCUUUCAAAACUGUUUUUCUUGAGUAGUGCAGAGGUAGGCGGAAUUCCCGGUGUAGCGGUGGAAUGCGUAGAUAUCGGGAGGAACACCAGUGGCGAAGGCGGCCUACUGGGCACCAACUGACGCUGAGGCUCGAAAGUGUGGGUAGCAAACAGGAUUAGAUACCCUGGUAGUCCACACCGUAAACGAUGAUUACUAGGUGUUGGAGGAUUGACCCCUUCAGUGCCGCAGUUAACACAAUAAGUAAUCCACCUGGGGAGUACGACCGCAAGGUUGAAACUCAAAGGAAUUGACGGGGGCCCGCACAAGCAGUGGAGUAUGUGGUUUAAUUCGACGCAACGCGAAGAACCUUACCAAGUCUUGACAUCCUGCGACGGUGCUGGAAACAGUACUUUCCUUCGGGACGCAGAGACAGGUGGUGCAUGGUUGUCGUCAGCUCGUGUCGUGAGAUGUUGGGUUAAGU